ACAACAUACGGACCGUCGGUCUACCGAGCAAUAUCACCCGCUCGGUGGAAGGUUGUCAUAUACCUC
rnacentral:pre_miRNA from 1 species